rnacentral:rRNA from 1 species
AUGAUAGGAACAAGAGAAACAAUCUCAGUUUUGAAGUCUCGUCAUUCCAGACAUCAGAUUUCUGAGCUGUUUGUCAUAUCAUAUUUUACUUUUCAAAGGAAUAAGAGAAAGAAUCUUAGUUUAGAAGUCUUUAUACUAAUCAAACAACAAGUACAAAUACCUCCUUUCAAGGCAUCCAUGUGUAUAUCACAUAAAAUGGCAUUGUACAUUGAUCAUGUGAUAGGAAGUUCAACUAUUACAAUCUACAAUUUACAUUUUCUAUUAUCAUGUCAAACCAUCCAGAGUCUGAUCAAUGUACAAUUUUAUGAAAUCGACCAAAGCAAAAUCAGUCAUGGAGUAUCGGUGGCAUCAUUGUUAUCAUCACCCUUGUGCUGUAAAUGA